rnacentral:rRNA from 1 species
UACGGAGGGCGCAAGCGUUGUUCGGAAUUACGGGGCGUAAAGCGCGUGUAGGCGGCCAGGUAAGUCGGAUGUGAAAUCCCGGGGCCCAACCCCGGAACUGCACUCGAUACUGCCUGGCUGGAGUCCCGGAGAGGAUGGCGGAAUUUCCGGUGUAGAGGUGAAAUUCGUAGAUAUCGGAAGGAACACCAGUGGCGAAGGCGGCCAUCUGGACGUUGACUGACGCUGAGACGCGAAAGCGUGGGGAGCAAACAGG